UCGGUCGAGUCAGUCAGGCGGUCGGUCAGGUCAGGCAUGACGUGAAAAUCCGUGCGUGCCCAUAUACGGAUUGCAAAAGAAAGAAAGAGAAACCCCACGCAUGCGCAUGCGCCUGCCUGCCACCCACCAUACGUAUUAACUUUUGUCAUAUACGUACUACUAAAUCGGUUGUCAGAUCUGGAUGCGCCUUAUCUUCUCGUUGCUGCCUGGAUCCAACAAGGGAAACCCUAGCCUAGCCUAGCCGCCUCUCUCUCCUGCUCCUCUCCUCAGAUCUCCGGCCUCCUCCUUCCAACUGCCUGCCACCACGGAAGGAUCGAUCGAUGGCCUCACCCUUCCUUCCUUGCAACCAACCCCCUGCCACCGUGCACCCUUCUCCCAUGGCGAUGGCGAUGGCUAGAGAGAUGGAUCUAGCCAUCUGGCCCCGCCAGAUCGAGGCGCAGGCCCGCUGGCCGGACGGCGGCAACGUACCUCCCCUCCAUGUCCAGAUGGGAAACAGCACGGUCAAGGUACGGUGGCUCCCGGAGACUCUCACGGCGGCCGGGCCGGGCUCCCCCAGCUAGCGCUUGUUCGUCUCAUGGGUGGGCGUGGUUCUAUCAGAGAGAUUGGUGCACUUUGAAAUCGUCCAUUUGCUUGUGGGGUUUAUUUACUUUUUAAGUAUGUGCUCAUCUUUUGGGGAUGUGUGCACAUGGCCCAAGCUGUCCACUCGAAAUGAAUGAAUGGAGGCUGUCCACUCCUUCUCUAUCUCUCUAGACAGAUAGAUCCAUGGACAUCUUUUUCUUGUUCAGUUUCCUUUGCUGUACGUGUAUUCAUUCAGUUCUUCAGGUUUGAUGUUGGCCUGUUCUGAUAUGAUGUUGCUAUCUAUACAACAAUUGUUUGUUCAGGCACAUAGCCACCCUGCUUUGCUCGUGACAGGCGGGCUGCUGCUGCAUUUGACUUCUUGCUUGUGAAGGUGUCUAGAUCCUGAUGCAUAGUCAACUCUCGGUAAUCGUUCUAUUGUCAAUUCCUCUCUUUUUCCCCUACUCUGUCAUGAUAGUUUCUCAUCCAAAAAAUAUAAAAAAGUACCUGAGAUACAGAAUUUAUUUUAAACCUUUAACUUUUUUCAUGUUGUUUUGGUCUGACUAGACAGUUUACUGAUAUUAUUUGUUUCUAUCUAUUAAAUUUUGCCAAACUGCUGAGGUCUCAAAAUGUAUGUGAAAGAAGAGAUGCUUGAGGAGGGAGUAAUUAGUAACCAAAAAAAUCAACUAACCCAGCUGCCGGGUUGUAGAAAUAAACCAAAAAAACCCAGUCAAACAAAUGGUCUAGAUGCAUCUCUGCUAGGGGAGUGCAGCUUUACCCGAGCCAGUGCUUAAUCUUGAUUUUAGACUGCUGGUCACUGUAAGUUGACUUUUUGAACCACAUCCCUUGGCAUCAAGUUAGUAACGAAAUCAUACACAUCCCAAUACUAAUGAAAUUAAUUUAACGCUAAAGCUUUCACCAACAUUCUGCAAUUAAUAAUUAGGAACAUUUCACCCCAAAUGGACCAUGACUUACUAGCACUCGGUCUACGUUCUCGUAUGUAUAGCAAACAUGCUCAAAAUUUCUUUAACAGUUUAUGAAUAGUUUUGAAUGAAGACUUUUUAUUCAACUCAUUCAGCAUCUUUGAGCGUUCAUCUGCAUGUUAUACCUGCUUCCUGCAAGCACCAGAAAGAAAGGCAGUAAGUUAUGCUACUUCAUUUAUGUUCUCUUCUCACAUUGUGCGCCAGAUGUGGAUGAUGAUGUGCAGCACAAGGUAAAAUAAGAUGAAAUGAUCAAACAGGUUACACUGAUUCCAUCAUUGUUGAACCCAGCUUAACAAAAUGCAUUCUCAGAAGCUUGUUUGUGCCUGGCACUCCCUGGAUAAUGUCAGCUAAUAAACUUGUUUAUCUCUGUUUGGGGGUACAAAAUUAAUUUCUGCUCUUCAUUUUGAAAAGUCAAACACUACUAUAGUUGUACCUCAGUUAAUAGAGAGCUCAAAAAAGCAAGAGUAUGCCGUCAAUAGCACCAUUUUAGCAAAUAGGCAUCUGUCCUUAACUAGUUUGUACUAAAUAUGAAGCAUGCUUCACAUCAAAUUGGUAGUCAGCUUCACAACAUUAUUAAAUAUAUUAGCAUGGUCGAGCAGUUUCACAAAGCUAAGCUUCACAACAUUAUUGGAUAUAUUUUGGUUUAUAUAUUUUGGACGGAGGGAGUAGUAUGUUAGUAUGCAAUUCCACAUAGUGAAAGUGUAGAUAAAUAAACAUGUUUGGUGCGCAAAUUUAGUUUCUCUUGUUCAUUUUGAAAGCCAAUCACUAGUAUUAUUCCUAGCUAGGACAUUCAGUUGAUAAGGCUAAAAACAAGUAUUUUUUUGUUUCAGCUGCACCAGUUUAGCAAAGAAGAGGAGGUACAAGCCAUGUAUGUUUGGUUUUACCUUGAUGGUGUGUUCACAAAUGCUUCCCUGAAAGGUGUUUGAUUAACAAGCGACGCUCCGUUCUGCAGAGGUGCAAGCAAAGCAAUUUUGAUAUCAGAGAUGAAAAUGUAGGUGUAGAGAUGGUUGUAAUUUAGGUUGCACUCACAUGGAUGUUAUUCAUAACAGACAGGAGGUGCUAUUUAUGUCAAAAUAAAUCACAGAUUGAUUUUUCCUAGUGUAUAAAACCUGGAACAGAAUGACAGGGCUAAGCUACCUGUGAAUCUCGAUGUGGGACUCACGGUCUUUGGCAAGCACAUUUUCGUUGCA